rnacentral:lncRNA from 1 species
GCGCCAGGCAAAAUUAUAUGUAACACUAUUUGUGUUAAUCGUGAGUUCUCCUCUCAGUAUUAACUUUUUUUUAACGUAAAUAGUGGGUGUGGCAUAGUUGUACAUUUCACAUUCCUGUAGGCGGAGUCUUGUGUAUUCAUAAUGUAAACAUUUGGAUACUCGGAAUCUCUCUAUAGUCUUGUUCUGCUACAAUCACACAACACAAUGGAAGCCUCCGUGGAUAAACACAUGUUAUUAUUUAAUCACAAGUCUCGUCACAUAAG